rnacentral:rRNA from 1 species
GGAUGCGAUCAUACCAGCACUAAAGCACCGGAUCCCAUCAGAACUCCGAAGUUAAGCGUGGUUGGGCGAGAGUAGUACUAGGAUGGGUGACCUCCUGGGAAGUCCUCCUGUUGCAUUCC